rnacentral:rRNA from 1 species
CCUACGGGUGGCUGCAGUGGGGAAUAUUGCACAAUGGGCGCAAGCCUGAUGCAGCCAUGCCGCGUGUGUGAAGAAGGCCUUCGGGUUGUAAAGCACUUUCAGCGGGGAGGAAGGCGUUAAGGUUAAUAACCUUGUCGAUUGACGUUACCCGCAGCAGAAGCACCGGCUAACUCCGUGCCAGCAGCCGCGGUAAUACGGAGGGUGCAAGCGUUAAUCGGAAUUACUGGGCGUAAAGCGCGCGCAGGCGGUCUGUCAAGUCGGAUGUGAAAUCCCCGGGCUCAACCUGGGAACUGCAUUCGAAACUGGCAGGCUAGAGUCGUGUAGAGGGGGGUAGAAUUCCAGGUGUAGCGGUGAAAUGCGUAGAGAUCUGGAGGAAUACCGGUGGCGAAGGCGGCCCCCUGGACAAAGACUGACGCUCAGGUGCGAAAGCGUGGGGAGCAAACAGGAUUAGAUACCCUUGUAGUC